GUAUGGCUGCUCACUUCCUUCUCUACGCCAGUUGAGUCUCCUUUCUUUAGUAUCUUCUUAUAAAUAUCUUAAGAAAAAUUAGAACGACUCAAUCAUCCAGUGACUAUUAUUAAAUAAGGAAAGCAGACAUGUAAAGUGUGCAAAGAGAAAAGACUAAUCAGCUGCAAUGGGUAUUAGAGGAAUAUUGUUACAACUAUAUAAUAAAAACAGAUUCAAAUGGAAAAUAGAAUUUUCAUUAAAGGUGAGUACAAAUACAAAAAACGUUUUUGUAAUUAAAGCAGUCGAAUUGUACGUAUUUCUCUAAUUAAAAUCUGAUUAUUUAUUUUCAGAAUGAUCUGAUUCAUUAAAUACUGGAAACAAGACUAAAUAAUGUUUCCUGGAAAUUGAUUCUUAUUUACAUAUAUAAACAUAUGUAACGAUUGAAGAAGCUCCCUGUUUCACUCCGCUGUUGUUAAAAGCUGCCAUUAUCGACAACCUCAACUGUGGCCUCUAAAGACCCUGGAAGUGAACAUCGUGAGAACUUACGAGAACUUAGCUCAGCGAUUGAAUCUAACUGUCUGAUGAAGACAAAAUCCGAGUCAACAAAAUUGACUUCGAGAAACAAGCUAAUCCAUAAUUAUGUUAUGUAAUGAUGAGAAAAAAUGCAGAUGUAAAGAAAGUCAAUAAAGUGAGAGUAGACUAGAU